rnacentral:rRNA from 1 species
UAACUACUGGAAACGGUAGCUAAUACCGCAUAACGUCGCAAGACCAAAGAGGGGGACCUUCGGGCCUCUUGCCAUCGGAUGUGCCCAGAUGGGAUUAGCUAGUAGGUGGGGUAAGGCUCACCUAGGCGACGAUCCCUAGCUGGUCUGAGAGGAUGACCAGCCACACUGGAACUGAGACACGGUCCAGACUCCUACGGGAGGCAGCAUG